rnacentral:rRNA from 1 species
CCUGGCUCAGGAUGAACGCUAGCGGCAGGCUUAACACAUGCAAGUCGAGGGGCAUCGGGAGUAGCAAUACUUGCCGGCGACCGGCGCAAGGGUGCGUAACGCGUGAGCAACAUGCCUGUAUCAGGGGGAUAAUCCAUGGAAACGUGGUCUAAUACCCCAUAGUAAUUAUGUAAGGCAUCUUAUAUAAUUUAAAGCUUUGGUGGAUACGGAUUGGCUCGCGUGACAUUAGCUAGAUGGUAAGGUAACGGCUUACCAUGGCUACGAUGUCUAGGGGUUCUGAGAGGAAGGUCCCCCACACUGGAACUGAGACACGGUCCAGACUCCUACGGGAGGCAGCAGUGAGGAAUAUUGGACAAUGGAUGGAAAUCUGAUCCAGCCAUGCCGCGUGCAAGGAAGACGGCCCUAUGGGUUGUAAACUGCUUUUGUAUGGGAGCAAUAAGGGCUACGCGUAGUCCGAUGAGAGUACCAUACGAAUAAGCACCGGCUAACUCCGUGCCAGCAGCCGC